AAAGGGAGACCUAAUUCAGGUAAGAGACGAAAAAAAAGUAGUCGCUACCAAGGAUCAAUCCCAAAAGGUCGGAGCGAGGCGAAAUUGGCUUUCAAACUAGGUUCUGGGUUCAAACAAGACCUGAAUCAGGAACAAGGGCUAUUAGCUCAGGUGGUUAGAGCGCACCCCUGAUAAGGGUGAGGUCCCUGGUUCGAGUCCAGGAUGGCCCACCUGCACAGGUGGCAAAAACAAGAGAAGCGAGGAAUCAGCACCUUAUCUUACUUAUAUAGUAAGAGAGAAUGCUGGCUCUGAGUAAAGAGUCCAGAGGAACCUUGAAAACUGCAUAGAGCUAGGUGAAAAAGCCAAAAAAGAAGACCGCAAG
rnacentral:tRNA from 1 species